rnacentral:lncRNA from 1 species
UUACCUUAAAUAAAAUUUUUGUUUAAAUAAUCAAUUUAAUAUUAAAACACUUGUUUAAAAUCAUAUUCACAUUCAAAUUACAAACAUAGUUUCAUUUUCAUUAUAAUAGAAGACCAGGAUCCUCCAAAACACAACUCUUUCUUCGGUGUGUACAAUCGAACCGUUGCCAUCCCGUGUUACUGUAAAACCUGAAACGACAUAACAUAAACAACGUAAGCACGAAGCUUAGUGAGUUCCCCAAAAUACCUUGCGCACAUACGCCCUCCGGCCCGGACCUUUCGGUCCACAUAACAUUGCCUUCCGGCCCGAACCUUCUGGUUCACAUAGCAUUGCCUUCCGGCCCGAACCUUUCGGUUCACAUAACUUUGCCUUCCGGCCCGGAUCAUUCGAUCCACAAGAUAAUUGCCUUCCGGCCCGGAUCUUUCGAUCCACAAGAUAAUUGCCUUCCGGCCCAUACACACAUAUAACACAUAAUACCAAUACUUUAACACAUAAAGCACAUAUAUCAUAUAUCAUACCUGACCUUCCUGUCACAUAAUACCUUGCCUUCCGGCCCAUAUACAAACAUGAAUAUCACACGUAGCAACUAACUUUCCAUUUAUAGCAUAUAAGCAUAACACAUAACAUACUUGACCUUCCGGUCACACAAUCAAACCCUUCCGGGUGAAGUAUAGUGAGAAGACUCACCUCGCGGUCACUGGAAGAUAACAACUCCCGAAAUCCCUUGCACUUGAUCCUCCGAGCUCCAAGCUCCCUGUCUCAUCAUAUAUCCCUUUUUAGUACUUCUAUCUUCCACGUUAACUGACCCUAAGAAAUCACACCAGUCAACUCUGGUCAACAGUCCAUUGUCUGCUCGACUGGACUCGGCGAGUUCCCUGGCGACUCGGCGAGUCUGGUCGUCCUUCAGUCCUCUAAGAUUCCCCUACUACUCGUCGAGUAUCCUCUUUGACUCGACGAGUCACCCCUGGAAGAAAUCGCGGGGCCACCCCGACUCCACUCGCCGCGUCUGAAGAACAACUCGGCGAGUCCCAGUAAAUCUUCAAGCUACUCGCCGAGUCUGAUCAUCCGACUCGGCGAGUCCAUGCCAUGCAGUCGAUCCAACUGCUUCCUGAGAUACGUUUUUCCCGAGAUACACACUCAUGGGACUUCUGGACCUCUAGUCAUCCUAUUACUAGGGUAUAAACUCAUGUAUAACAACAUAAUAAUCCAUCAAAUCACCAAUUGGGUUUCAUAAACCCUAAUCCCAUAACACAUCAACAUAGCAGAGGAUAAUUCGAGUUCUUACCUGAAUAAUGUGUCCUCUGUGUCCCCAACCCUCAGAAUAUGACUCCCUUGCUGCUCCUUUAGCCAAAACUCCUCUUCUUCUUGCCUAACAACUUCUUCAAGGCCAAUAAUGGCAUUCAAGCUUGCUCUAGAUGCCACAGUCGUUUAGGGUUCUCCACAAUCGGCCAAAAGACGCGAAAUGACGACAAUACAACCCUUAUAUACGACCCAAUACGAAACGGCUAGGGUUUCUGCUGAACAGCGUCGACUCGCCGAGUCC